rnacentral:rRNA from 1 species
ACGAACGCUGGCGGCGUGCUUAACACAUGCAAGUCGAACGGAAAGGCCCUGCUUUUGUGGGGUGCUCGAGUGGCGAACGGGUGAGUAACACGUGAGUAACCUGCCCUUGACUUUGGGAUAACUUCAGGAAACUGGGGCUAAUACCGGAUAGGAGCUCCUGCUGCAUGGUGGGGGUUGGAAAGUUUCGGCGGUUGGGGAUGGACUCGCGGCUUAUCAGCUUGUUGGUGGGGUAGUGGCUUACCAAGGCUUUGACGGGUAGCCGGCCUGAGAGGGUGACCGGCCACAUUGGGACGGAGAUACGGCCCAGACUCCUACGGGAGGCAGCAGUGGGGAAUAUUGCACAAUGGGCGGAAGACUGAUGCAGCAACGCCGCGUGCGGGAUGACGGCCUUCGGGUUGUAAACCGCUUUCGCCUGUGACGAAGCGUGAGUGACGGUAAUGGGUAAAGAAGCACCGGCUAACUACGU